rnacentral:rRNA from 1 species
AUUGAACGCUGGCGGCGUGCUUAACACAUGCAAGUCGAUCGGUAACAGGUGUAGCAAUACAUGCUGACGAGAGGCGGACGGGUGAGUAAUGCUUGGGAAUCUGCCUAUUAGUGGGGGACGAACCCGGGGAAACUCGGGCUAAUACCGCAUACGCUCGUACGGAGGAAAGCCGGGGACCGCAAGGCCUGGCGCUAAUAGAUGAGCCCAAGUCGGAUUAGCUAGUUGGUAGGGGUAACGGCCUACCAAGGCGACAAUCCGUAGCUGGUCUGAGAGGACGACCAGCCACACCGGAACUGAGACACGGUCCAGACUCCUACGGGAGGCAGCAGUGGGGAAUAGUUAGGUACAAUGGGCGCAAGCCUGAUCCAGCAACGCCGCGUGGAGGACGAAGGUCUUCGGAU